GUCGCGACGUCCGGACCGUUCUUGGAUCGCUCCGUAUUUUUUCGCGAGUUUUGUUAUUUUACAGUCAAUCUCGCGUGAAUAGUUUAUCGUGAGUGUCUUCCGCGAGUGUCGCGUGUUCAUUGAAAUAUCAGAGAUCACGUGUACGAUCGCUAUUGUAUGCGAAAUAAACAAAACAACUCGACCGGGCGCGUUUUCGUGAUUUCGAGGCAUCGGCCCGGCCAUAUUCGACCUUGGCGUCGCGACGAACGGAUCGCUUUUCGCUUGCUCCGUGUUUUCUCGCGAAUGUUAUAUUUUUUACGGCCAAUCUCGCGCGCGAUAGAGCAUCGCGAGUGUUUUUCGUAAAGUCGACAUCGUAACAUAAUCGUGUGCGUUCAAUAUCGUGAUUUCAGAAUCGCGUACGUGACCGAGUGCUUCAAGGACGUCUUGGGAAUCUUCCGUCUUCAUCAUCCUUGCAGUCCAUCUUCGAGGUGCAGCGGAAAUGCGGUUGACACAUUAUCAUCAUCAUCAUCAGAUGAUAUACCGAUCAUAAUUAGCAAAGUACUUUCGCGAGUGCCAAGAAAUACAAAAGAUGAACGAGAGAGGAGGAGGAGGCUCGGGGAGCAUCAGGCAACGAUGGUGUUAACGUUAGAUGUCACAAUGCUGCGCAUCGUGUGCCGUCCUGGUACAGCAAGUUUUAAGUCUUCGCUCCAAAAAUGAUUCUCGACAUGAUUAAAAUCGAAAGUACCGUGCAAAGUGUUGCGAGUAAUUAAUAUCAGGAGUAUCGUACAAAGUACCGCGAAUAAUUAAUAUCGGGAGUGCCGUACAAAGUAUCGCGCGUAAUUAAGAUCGAGAUGCCAUGUAAACUAUUGCGUUUAGUCGAUAUCGCGAGUUCAAAGUGUCACGUCUAAUUAACAUUGAAAGUGCCGUUACAUCUAAUCGAUGUCGGGAGUGCCGUUUAAAAUGUCGCGCAAUGGCAUUUUGUUAAUUACGCGUGCGAUCAUAAUUAGUAAAGUAUUUUCGCGAGUGCUAUGUCAAGAAAUAUAAAGGAUGAAGGAGAGGAGGAGGAGGCUCGGGAGAGCAUCAGGCAACGGUGAAGGCAGCGUAAGGUGGUCACGAUGCUGUAUACUUCACUGCUACGCAUCGUGUGCCG